rnacentral:rRNA from 1 species
CACGUAGGAGGCGAGCGUUGUCCGGAAUCAUUGGGCGUAAAGAGCGCGCAGGCGGCUUGGCAAGUCGGGUGUGAAAUCCCGGGGCUCAACCCCGUGACUGCAUCCGAUACUGUCAGGCUAGAGGUAGGUAGGGGAGAUCGGAAUUCCUGGUGUAGCGGUGAAAUGCGCAGAUAUCAGGAGGAACACCGGUGGCGAAGGCGGUUCUCUGGGCAUUACCUGACGCUGAGGAGCGAAAGUGUGGGGAGCGAACAGG